UGUCGAUCGAGGGGAGCGUGGUCUGUGUUUUGGACAGUGAGUCCAACUUUGCUGCUGCCCUCUCUAGGUUUUUAACAUAGAAUACCAGGAAUCAGCUUCUGCAACCUUGGAGCUGAUACAGAGGUUCCUGGUUCGAAUAAGCCCUGAAGGAACCAAAUGCACAGUGAAAGCAGGAGUGAUCCGCAAGACCGGAAAGGUCGCUCAGAGGAAGCCGUUGCCAAUUGACCCACGUGUUACAUGCUUUCUCGCAGACCUGACGGAGUUUGAGUGGAAAAACUCCAACAUGAGGAUCAGAGUUUUGAAGAUUGGGGUGAUAACCUGCACGCCACCGAGAUUUAUUUGAGACUUGUUUGCAGCUCUCAUUCUCUCAGAAAUCCUGCCAUGCGGGUUGGGUCAGCAAAUGACCUGCUUGUGCCAUCCCGGAGCCCGUAUUGGCUUGCGGUAGCAUGCUACUCUGGCUCCAGUCUAGCCCUGCUCGCUCCUCUCUAUCCAUCUUUCUCUCUCAGCCUCUUUCUUUCUUGAUCUCUUUUUCUCAUUUCUCUCUCAAAGACAGGCAGGCAAGCAGUUCUUGUUAUAGUUUUUUGUAAAGAUUUCUCCCUGUUCAACUGUUGUUUUCCAAUUUUUCAUUGAUCUGUUUAGAUUUUUUUUUUCUUACAUAUCCUGUAUUUUCAAGAAUGACCUAUUCUGAUGUCUUAGUUUGUGUAUGGUGAAGGACAUUAUUUGCUAGUAUUUGUCAAUGUUCUUAUCACUAUCUCUCUCCCCUACUAU